rnacentral:lncRNA from 1 species
UUUUUUUUUUUUUUUUUUUUUUGUUCUCUUUGCCAUUUCUUGGGCCGCUCCCGUGGCAUAUGGAGUUUCCCAGGCUAGGGGUCUAAUCGGAGCUGUAGCCGCCAGCCUAUGCCAGAGCCACAGCAACAUGGGAUCCGAGCCGCGUCUGCAAUCUACACCACAGCUCACCACAAUGCCGGAUCCUUAACCCACUGAGCAAGGCCAGGGAUCGAACCUGCAACCUCAUGGUUCCCAGUCGGAUUCGUUAACCACUGCACCACUACGGGAACUCCUAAUUUCUCAAAAAUAUUUAUUAUUCCUUAAUAAGUAGCUUCGAUUAUUAACUUAAUAAAUAUUCAAUAAGAAUUUAACAAGAGACCUUCACCAGCACUGGACUGACAUUAUAUAUCUUAUGUAAACUAUUUUGAGAUAUUUAUAAAUCUUAAAGAUUAUAAGAUUAUAAAUCUUACACUACUCUAAUAACAUACUAUUUUUCUAAUAAUAUGCUAUUAUUCCAAUAACAUACUAGAUUUUUUUAUGAGACUAGCAUUUUUAUUAAAUAUUAACAGAAUUAAUAUCUGUUAAAAAUAUAAUCAGGACAUAAAUGUUACAUAUUUAUGAAUGUGAGUGGACUUCAACUUGAAAUACAAUACAUACAAUGUAUUAGAGUUAUAAUCUAUGGAUUAAAGGCAAGAAAAAGGAAAUUUUGAUAUGAUAUAUGGGUAACAAGUGACAUAAAACAAGAUACAAAUCUUUAAUAUGAUUUUCCUGCAAAACAGCCCAGUGUCCUUUUGAAUACAGCCAUCAUCUACACUGUUGCUUCUUAUCUUGGCAUCUGAAAAUCCUUCCACAAUGAAAUUCAAGGAUGAGCCUCAACUGCAUAGAUCCCAAAUAGCAGGAGCUAUUUAUUCUUAGGAACAGCUCAGUACUGCUAUAAUAAAUUAAAUUUCCAUCAUAUGGCAUUUGACGUCUACUUUUCUCUUUGGUAAAAUGAGAAAUCUUAACUAUUUCUUUUCUGGAUAAUAAAUAUAAUAGAUAUGUGGCUUAAAAUUGAGAAAUAUAUAUAUAUAUUUUUCUCUAAUAGGAAAUCACAACAGGCCAGGAGUAUUUAUAGGUUUUAUAAAUGAUCAUGACACUGAAAUUUAAAGAUGGAGCAACAGUAGUUGUUCCUUUGGUCAAAGACUGGUUGAAGGGAAUUUUCUUUCUGCGUGGGGAUGUUUCCUACUGCGAAUUAGAUUUUACCCUACCCUAAAUUACAUAUAUAAAUAAUUAUGUUAUUUUUUCAGUUUUUAAGAAAAUCGUAUGUUCAAGAAAAGGACUACACAAAAAAAUCUUAAUACUGAAGUAGAAAUGGACAGCUCUAGAAAUAUAUUUAUUCCACUUGUGCAGCGGUUUUCAACUCUGGCUUCACAUUAGAAUCAUUUUGGAGAAUGUUAAAAAUCCUCAUGCCUCGGUCAAUCCAGACAGCUCAGCUACUCUGGGAUCAGCUUGAAACUUCAGUGUUUUAAAAAGCUUCUUAAAUUACUCUAAUGUGCAGCCAGAGUUGACUGAUUUAACAAUGUGCUUAGAAGAAAUUAAUAUAGUAUUAAGAACAAUAUAUUAAAUAUAUAAGUAUAUAUUCAUGCAUCAUAGGUCCUACGGUCCAGUCAGGAUAUUCUUUGGACCUAUGAGAUCAACAUUACACUACAGAAAUUAUCAGACAAAGAUCCCCUUAGCCUAUGAUUCACUCUCAGAAUACAAUAUGGACUCUUGCUAUUUUGUUAACGUUUGGUGGCAUUUGACAAAACUGUACGUAUAGGACAGAAAAUAAACUGGAAAUGUCUCAUCAGUUCAAAAGAUAUUUUCAAUUGUUUUAUUAUAUAUCAAGUCUAUUGGGUUCUUUCCAAACUAUCAGUCUGUUGCUCACUCCCACAAGUAACAUUGUUUGUUCUGACAGUAAAAGAAUGAAUAAACAGCAGAAUACUUGCAUUUAAACAUACCCAUUGUAAAAUCAUCAAUAUGAAACAAUGGUAUGCUUCCAGUUCCUUUUUAAUGAAAUUCAGACAUGAAGACUAUUCAUUAUUCAUUUUAUUUCUAGAAUAAGUGUUUACAUACCAUCAAAGUGAAGUGUAUAAUAUAUUUGCAUGGUGUAGUGUUUUUAAAAUAAGGAAAGCCAUACAUACACAUAUGUCCUCUAAAUAGGCAAUAUUGAAAAUUUAACAUUUACAGACCUAAUCCGUCAUCUGGAUACUUCUUUCAAAUAAAAGACUUUUCAGAGCAACGUCUUUUCCAGUGACUUUCUGAGCCUGAGUGGCUGAUAAAUAAUGGGAACAUAGUGGAAGAUGUCUCUGGAGGACAGAAACGUCCAAGGUGGAUGCCAUCAGACAAACAGUUGUGAGAAUAUGAAAAGGUCACAGAUAUGGUAAACACGAGAGGGAAUACAAUGUAACAAGGACCUGGAGCCAGUCAAUAAAGAGAAAAGAAAAAGAGGUCACAUUCACCUAGAGCUCAACUUAAAGAAGCAGCAAGUUAAAAUUCUGAAAAAAGUACAUAAAUGAUUUUAAUGUACCUCUUCUCUUUCUGAACAGUGGUACAAAUGACUAGACACUUAAAACAUCUUAAUUUGAGGAAGGAUGGAUUUGAAUGGGAGAGAUGAGAAUAGCAGUGAUGUUUAUUUUCGAUUGGUAGUUUUGGAAAAGGACUUUCAAUCUUCUAACAGUGUUUUACACAAUGUCUCCCUCCACAUACUUUAAAAAUGUCUUAUUAAAAGAACGCAAAUAAAAUUAGUCAGCAAAUGCCUAUAUAUACAUAAGUGUUUCUACCCAGCUAUGGAGACCACCUACAUAGUUGAGAUGUUGGAAGCACAAACAUUCAUUCAUUUACUCAUCAAGUACUUAUUUGUGGAGCUUUUACUAAUAGAAAUAUAGUAAGACACUGACAAUCCAGUAAUUAAAAGAAAAUGUCAUAGUUUCUACCCUAAUGUAGGAAUAUAUGUCAUCAAUGAGGAUUUAAGACACUUGGAGAAGGGGAUGGUAAACCUUUAUGAAAUCUACAAACCCU